rfam:Acetobacterium wieringae strain DSM 1911 ACWI_contig000015, whole genome shotgun sequence.
UACCUAUCCAGAGAGGUGGAGGGACAGGCCCGAUGAAACCCGGCAACCAGCAUGUGCAUGGUGCCAAUACCUGCGAUAUUUUCGCAAUGAUGGGAU